rnacentral:rRNA from 1 species
GAUGAACGCUGGCGGCGUGCCUAAUACAUGCAAGUCGAGCGAACAGACGAGGAGCUUGCUCCUCUGACGUUAGCGGCGGACGGGUGAGUAACACGUGGAUAACCUACCUAUAAGACUGGGAUAACUUCGGGAAACCGGAGCUAAUACCGGAUAAUAUAUUGAACCGCAUGGUUCAAUAGUGAAAGACGGUUUUGCUGUCACUUAUAGAUGGAUCCGCGCCGCAUUAGCUAGUUGGUAAGGUAACGGCUUACCAAGGCGACGAUGCGUAGCCGACCUGAGAGGGUGAUCGGCCACACUGGAACUGAGACACGGUCCAGACUCCUACGGGAGGCAGCAGUAGGGAAUCUUCCGCAAUGGGCGAAAGCCUGACGGAGCAACGCCGCGUGAGUGUUGAAGGUCUUCGGAUCGUAAAACUCUGUUAUUAGGGAAGAACAAAUGUGUAAGUAACUAUGCACGUCUUGAUGGUACCUAAUCAGAAAGCCACGGCUAACUACGUG